UCAAUGAUUCGGAUUCAUGUUUUUUUCAGGUAGAUUAUGUUAAAAUGUUAAUACAGAAAGCAGGGGUUGUGGCUGUGCCAGGAUGUGGAUUUUUUCAUACACAUUUGUAUCCGGAGAAAUUUUCUCUGGGAGGUUACAGCUAUCAGGAGAGAUACAUUAGGUUUGCUUUCUGUAAAAGUGAUCAGACUUUGGCUUCUGCUGCAAAAAGAAUUGGGGAGCUUAUUGAUGCUACAGGGUGUCUCAAUCUGCAAUGACUCGGAAGGAAGAAUAACUCAAAUUUGUGUACUUGACAUUGAGAUGAUAUUGGAAGAUAGCACUUCACUGAGAAUAAUGGUAUCCAAGGUGAUGGGGGAGGUGGUGGGGGUGAAGUCAGGGGAGGAACUGCAUAGAACAUGGAGUUUUUGUCAAUACCA